UAAUCUCCAGACAUGACACAGAAUAUGAUCUGAUGUUGAACAGGUCUGUUUACAUUUUGUCAUUUUAUUGCUGCUUCAUUAACAGAAAUAAAAUAGUAAUUUAAUUAUUGUGACAAAAUCCAUUAAGGAAAAAAAGUAAUGUUUUUAUUAUCAGUGAUGUCAGAAUAUUUAAGCUUAUAAAAAAUAUUAUUUGAAAGCUUGAUUAACUUGAAGCUGGAAAGGGGCAUCACAUGAGCAUAAGAUCAGGACCAUGAACCAUGCAGGGACUUGGUGAUGUGGAAUUUUCUCAGCUGAGAUUUACAUUAAAACGUACAAUGAUCAAUUUUAUUUAAUAUUAAUUUCAUUUAGCAUGGCAGAAAACAUGUCUCCCAUCAAAAUUAUUUUCAUCAAUAUUAUAUAUAUAUUUUUUCCGUCAUCAGUGUAAUAAAAUUGAUACCAUAUAAAUAUAUUACAUUUGGAUUGAAGUCACAUUUGUUCCCAUCACACAGGCAAGUAGAAAAAAAAAUUCUCAACCCGAAUAUGACCAUGACCUCCAGAAUCUGGCUCCUGUAUCUGAGCUCUCAGGAUCUUAUCAUAUCCUCAUUUCAUACAUAAAAUUAAACACAACAAAAUCAAACACAACCCCAGAAGAUACCAAAAGUACAUGUACCUUGAUUCUUUACCACCUGACCUGCUGGAGCUCCAUCUUUCAUCACCUGAGUGACUGAAAUCCCCACAGCACCCUCUAGUGUGAGGUGAUUAUACUGCACAACCCUGAGCAUGAAAAGGUCUUGCAUCUGACUGAAAAAUAGGAAUGAGAAAGAACUUCUUUAAUGUGUAAAACAAACCCAAACCAUCAUGCUUCCACCAUCAUGCUUUACAGUUGGGUUAAUGGAUUAUUCUGGUGCCUGAAGGUCACCUUUGGAGUUUUUUUUUUUUUAUCUCUGGGUAUUAAAUGAUCUGACCCUGGACUGUUUAUGCUGAAACGCUUUUUAAAAUUCCAAUCCACAAACCUUCUUAAUGUAAUAUGAUAAAUUUCAGCUAGUGUGGAGACGGCCUUAUAACCCCUUUCCUGAUCAAUCUCUUCAGAUCACUUCUCUGAGGUUGUGGUUGGUUUCAUGUUUUCUUGGUAUAAUGUAGAAACAUUAUGAGUGUUUCAGAAAACAAACUGGCAGAGUCUGCUUUUAUAGACAUACUUACACUUUCUGAUCAUAAACAAACCUUCUUUAACCACACAGUUUAUUUCUCUUACACUGUUUGUAAAAGUAAUGUGGAUUUAUUUUGAAGUGUGGAUUGAGAUCUGGUGUGUUAUUUGUUUUUUUUAGACAUUGGGGCACAUAAUUGUUAUUUAGGUGCUGAUGAGCAUAGAUUCCCCAUGACUUAAUGUAAUGAAAUGCUUGUUUUCUUUUUUGUAAAAUUCCAUUUCUUUUUUCUUUUGGAUUAUGAUUUCUGGAUUUCUGGGAAACUGCUUUGGUACACAAACACUAUCAGAAAACCUUAUAUAAAGAUCCAGGGAGAACAAAUUUUCUAUUUAUAUAUUUAUUUGUUUAUUUGUUUGUUUGUUUGUUUUAUACAGUGUACAAAUGUAAAAAUAAUAUUUUCACUGAAUAGUGAAUCUAAAUAUAUUUUUCUGUAACUGUGUUGAGAAUAAAUAUAAUUCUGUAUGAGAUCAGAAAAGUUUAUUUAUUGUUUUUUUUUUUGUUCUUUUGUAUUUAAAGACUUGCAGGUGAGAGGAAACUCUGCCUGCUGCCUGUUUACAACAUUGUGAAAGAUCUGACUGUACAUGUGUAUGAUUGUGUUGCAUGUUGCCUGUUUUUGCCGUUUCAUUACUUUAAUUUAUCAUGUAGUGUGUUUGUAUUAUAUUCAGUCUGUAUGUAACUGCAGAGAUUCAAACUUUACUACAGUAUUAAUCUCAGCUAUUAAUAUAUUGUGUGUUGGACAAAAUAAAAAAUAAUAAAAUCCA